rnacentral:rRNA from 1 species
GUUGAGUGGCAAACGGGUGAGUAACACGUGGGUGACCUGCCUUCGAGUGGGGGAUAACGUCCCGAAAGGGACGCUAAUACCGCAUGACAUCCUGCUCUUGGACGAGCGGAGAUCAAAGCUGGGGAUCGCAAGACCUGGCGCUUGAAGAGGGGCCCGCGCCUGAUUAGCUCGUUGGUGGGGUAACGGCCUACCAAGGCAACGAUCAGUAUCCGGCCUGAGAGGGCGGACGGACACACUGGGACUGAGACACGGCCCAGACUCCUACGGGAGGCAGCAGUGGGGAAUUGUUCGCAAUGGGCGCAAGCCUGACGACGCAACGCCGCGUGGAGGACGAAGAUCUUCGGGUCGUAAACUCCUGUCGAGUGGGAAGAACACUUCCCGGGUGAAUAACCCGGGAGGCUGACGGUACCACUAAAGGAAGCCCCGGCUAACUCCGUGCCAGCAGCCGCGGUAAUACGGGGGGGGCAAGCGUUGUUCGGAAUUACUGGGCGUAAAGGGCUCGUAGGUGGCCAACUAAGUCGGAUGUGAAAUCCCCAGGCUCAACCUGGGAACUGCAUCCGAUACUGGAUGGCUUGAAUUCGGGAGAGGGAUGCAGAAUUCCAGGUGUAGCGGUGAAAUGCGUAGAUAUCUGGAGGAAUACGGUGGCGAAGCGGCAUCCUGGACCGACAUUGACGCUGAGAGCGAAAGCUAGGGAGCAAACGGGAUUAGAUACCCCGGUAGUCUACCCUAAACGAUGAA